UUAUUGAAAGGGCAAACUCAUGGAAAAAUGAGAACGCAAAGUUUCAGGUCUAAAGUAGUGUAAACUGCCACGAUGGCUGAACUGCAUGA
rnacentral:ncRNA from 1 species